GGCUUCCUUCCCUCACCCUAAAGGACCUGUGCCAUCAAUGUCCCAGCAUGGCUCAGGGCCCAAACCCAUUUAACUGUGAUGGCAGCCCAGUCACGGCUUGGUUCCAAGCUCCAGCAGAGCAGAACAAAAGGUUACUGGAUGCCAGCGUGUGGGGCCAGAAAAACCAUCUAACAAAAGCGGUCUAAAAAAGACUUGACAACGUGUUUUACCCACAGCAAAGUGUGCCCAAACAUUUCAAACCAGACCUGUCAACAAAGAAUGUGUUUGCAAACCAGACAGAAUUUAAAAUAAACUUCAGCCAGCAAAUGA